rnacentral:piRNA from 1 species
UCAACGCACAAUUCCUAGACCCAGAG